rnacentral:tRNA from 1 species
UUAGAUGGACUUUAACCAGUUCCACAAGCA